AAGACCCAGAAGGGGCUUCUCUUAUUUUAUGGUGUUGUGGUUUUUCUUUUUCUAGUUGAUGAAAUGCGAGGGUGAAAGGGAUAGCCAAUUGGGCAACAGUGCAAGUGCCAUUCCAGUUACUUGGCAGAGUGUCCAGUAAGGGUCCACCACAAUACCACCAUACAUUUGCUGGAGGAUGAACAGGGGCAGACUGACUGGUUGAAGCAGAGGUGUUCUGUUUCCGGCAAAGCCAAUAGCAAGCUAACAAUUGCUUCCAGAAAGGAGUAUAAGCUUUGCUGGCCUCUGGCAGUUUCUGGGUCCAAAACCCAAGAGACUAUGGAGGAUUCACCACCAGAGUGAGAAGCAACAGCCUGGGCUCCAGAGUCAGAUCUUACACUCACCAAACUAUGGAGGAUUCACGACCAGACUGAGAAGCAACAGCUUUGGCUCCAGAUUCAGCCACCCGUCCGGACACAGAUGAGGAGAGGUCUCAUGAAGCUUCCGCGUGUCUGGGACACUAGCUCUUGUUGUAAUGAGUUGUUUACCAUAAGGCCAAGUCACAAAGGUCCUUGGCGACUGGGCCCAAGGAACACAAUAAGGUCAACUUGUUUUUUUUGCAAUUGUCUAUCGUUUUUCAAUAACUAAAGUAUAAAAAUAGAUUGAAAUAGAGAUUUCUCCAUAACAGAGUUGGAUGAUCGUCUCAAGGGGCUCACACAACCUGUUCUAGGACUUGGUGACCAUUGUUUGUGUCCACGUUCAAUUGAGUUCAAAUUUAAUAUUUAACUUUUCCUCCACAAAUUCUCCUGUCUUGAUGAAUUGGCUCUGUCUAGGCAAAGGGCAACGUGAGCCCCUUGAGCUGUUACACAACCUCUGCCU